GAACGUAUGUAUUGAGUUUUAUGCUAUUUGCUCUGGAAUUUUGUUGGUAAAUCAUAAAUUUCUAUAUUUGACACCCUAAAAUGUUGAAACCUGCCUGGUGUUUGAGGGUCAUUAAAAAGGUUCCAAGUACAUGUAAGUAUUUUAUUUUCUUAUUUCUGAGACUUUACAUCCUCACAUAUUUAGAGUUUUGAGUGCUGUGUUCAUUUCUUAGUAAUUCUGCAUUGUUUGUAUUUCAAUUUUAUAAAACUUUUACAAUCUUUUCAAUCUGUGUCGUAGUUCAAAUGUGCUUGCUACUGUUUGAAUAACCCUCAAUUUCAAAACUUCACUGACUUGCAUGGAAAUCUCAUGGAAAGUGUGGGUCUUAGGCCAUACUAAAUUAAUGUAUGUUUAAUGUAAUUGAUAAGUAUAUUUUCUUGAUUUUUCUGUUGCCUCCCAAACAAUGUAGAACCAGUUUGAUGAGGAUUUCUGCAUUUGAACGUGCAAGGGUCAUAAAACAUAAUGUAAUAUAUCCAAAAUCAGCUAUGUUUGGGUUCACUUUCCGUUCAUAGGACUGGCUGACUGUGAAAAGUGGAAGAAAAGCACAGAUAUAUGAUAUGUAAAUGGGGAGAAAGCAAAUGAUCACAGAGAACCCUGGAUCUCAGUUUGGGUCUUCCUUGGUGGAAAUGUUUUGUCUGAAGCCGAUGGUUUAGUAUAAUACAGUGCACUUUGAACAACCAGACUGGAGAGAAGACACAUGCAACUAUCUGGCACCAGAUUACAGCAAUUAGUGGUGUAUUCAAACUUUUGAUGAAGGAUGACAGAAAGUUGGACUUAUAUAGCCUGGUUUGAUUUUUAACUGCUUGAGUGACUGGUUAAACAAAUGAUAAUACACUUAACAGUUUACUAGGACAGUGUAGUACAGCUUGUAUGGCAUGGCUGAACAGAAUAGACUGGCUAUCUCAUCAGCAGACAUAUUUACAUGUACUAAACUGGUACCGGAAAUUUACUGAGAGAAUAUGCACACAUGAAACAAGAUAUCCAGUGGAGUACUUCUAUAGACAGUCUGGUUCUGUUUCUUCAUGGAACAUUGAGAAAAGCCUUUCACCCUGACAUUUAAGCAAGGGUAAAGAGUACCUUAUUGAAGUUCUUCAGUAAAGAGACCACAAAAAAUAGAGGGACAUGCUGUACUACAACUUGUCAAACAGGCCGUUAUAGCUGUCACAAAAUGGAGCAAACAUUCAUAUCUGAAUAAACAUCAAAGUGCUUAGCUUGAUUUCCUUACUAAAACAUGAUGUUAAUCAAAGUUUAAAAGUUACACAAUUUUUAUAUGUUUUAGCACUACAUGAAAACAGGAAUCAUUGUAAUUGGGAAGUGAUGUCAGUAAAGAUGGACAUAAAAAGACCACAUUAUGAUAUACUGUAAUUACCAGUGAAGGAAACAGCAGUACCAUAAGAAACUAUUCAAUACAUGUUCAAUACAUGUAUUUGGAAAAAUUAAAAAAUUAUAAUAAAACUGAAGUUAUCAUGUACAGUCAUUAUUCAGGAUUUCAGAGUGGACUGAUUUACUGAAACUAUUGCAGUUUAGUAACCAAGCACUUUCUUAAACUGUUGUAAUAGAUCACAGUUUCUUAUAGAUUAUUAUAAAAAAAUCUUUUUAUCAGAUAAAAGUGGCUGUUGACACCUUAUUUGUGACUAAUGAAUUAAAAACUAAUAACUAGUAAGAUUCUUCUGAGAAACAAAUUGUCAUAAUGCCUUCUGAGCACAUCUACAUCUACGGUGAUACUCCCAACAAUCAAUUUCUGAUCAUAACUGGGAGGUCGGGGCAGUUAUUAAAAACAUGUUGCUAUGUUACAUGAUACAUGAUGUGCAUGUGUUAAGAGAGUAAGAGCAGUAAUAUGUACAGCUUUGUUAAAAAUAAAAACAGGAUGAUGACAUUAGUACAUAUGCGAGUCUAGGUCAGAUGUGAAGCACUGAAGGUUCACACUGUCCUUGAUGUUAUAAGGCAAGGCGUUCCAGUAUCUGAUUGUGCGGGGGAAAAAGGAGUUCAUAUGAUAUUGUGUUCUUGAAGAUGGAAUGAUAAAGUUUAAAUUUCUAGAGGCUGUCAGGUGAUUAUGAUCUACAGAGACGAGGUUGUGUGAUAUGCAAACAUCUUUAGAUAUAGUAAAACAUGCACUGUGUUAUCUCAGGUUAUACAAAUGCAUUUUAUAUAAUAAAAGAACUACCUUGUUUUGGUCAAUGGUUAGUUGAUCAGGGUCAGUAGUCAUUUUUCUUGGCUAAAUAAUUUAUAUAUUGACUACUUAUCAGAAAUACUGUUUUAAAUACAAGUUUCUUAAUAUUUUAGAUAUCUUAAAAUUGAACAUUGAUUUAGAAUUAGAAAAAAAAUAUUUUUAUUAUUUGAAAAAGAAAAUUUACUCAUGAAGUUUUUAUUUCAACUGAGUACAAAGUGCUCAUGGUAAGCUUUUAGGAUUGUUGGAUGUCAGCCGUCUGUCUGUGUGUUGUCCAUACUUUCUUUAAAGAACAUCUCACAGACCAUUAAGUCAGUUUCAGUCAAAAUUUUCAGGAAUGUCCCUUUGAUGGUCCUCUAUCAGAUUCCUGAAAAUCUGUGUCAUCUAGACUGAAUUUUGGAUGCCACUGCACCAAAAGAAAUAUACCUUGGAACCACUGACCUGAUUUUGGUAUAAUUUCACAGAAAUGUUCUUUUGGUGACCCUCUACCAAAUUUUUCAAAUCAUUCUAUUUUCUAAAAAAAACAUGGCCACCAGGUGGUGAAUUAAUUAGUUUACUCUAUAUGGCUGUAUGGAAAACUUAGAAUGUUUCUGAAACUACUGGCCCAGUUUCAAAAAAAUUUCACAGCAAUGUACUUUAAGUAAAUUUAUACCAAAUAAUUCUUUUUCGUUGAUAAACAUUGCUGCUAGGGGUUAGGGUUAAUUUUCCUUGAAAGGCUAUAGUUUUGCUAGACUUGAAAAUUCUUCUCCUUUAAAAGUGCUGGACCAAUUUAAAAAUAAUUCUAAAGAAAUGAUUUUUGGGUUACAAUCCACUAAAUUAAAUGUACUUGAAAUAAAUUUGUUCCUUAAACACAUGACUGUCUGAGGGUGGGGUUUGUUUUCCCUAUGUGGAACAAAAUUGAAUAUGGUCUCUCAAACCACUGGUAUGAUUUCAAAUAAUGUAACAGUUAUAUUCAUUGAGUCACCAUGCACCAAAUUCCUGCAAGUCAUGUUGAUUUGUUAAAAAAGCAUAACUGUUUACAGAUGAGGCUAGUUAACUCUUUUUGACUAUUUUCAAAUCUAUGAAGCUUUUGUACAGGUCUCUCAAAAUGAUUUCACAGCAGUGUACCUUAAGUGACCCUUUAAAAAAACUCAAGCCAUGUUGAUUUGUUUAAAAAAAAUAUGGCUGCCAGAGAUGAGGCUAGUUUACUCUAUUUGGCUAUUUAAAAAAACUUGAAAGAAAUCUUCUCUGAGGCUGCUAACCCAAAUUCAAAAUAAUUUCACAAUGUGCCUAUGGUAACUCUCGCAUUAACCCAACCCCACUCUCCCAACCCCAAAAUAAUUGCCUCUUAGAACACCAUGUCAUCAUUUCAGCUCUCUUCACCCUUCUCCCACACAUAAACACAUUAUUGCCCAGAUUUAUUUAGUGGAUUUUUUAAUCCACCAUUAGGAGUGGUAGGGGGUUAUAGGACUGGUCUCCGUUCGUCCUUCCGUAACAUUUUUAUGUUCGCUCUGUAUCUCCUAUAACCCUUGGAAGUAUUUUCAUGAAACUUGGGUCAAAUGAUAACCUCAUCAAGACGAUGUGCAGAACUCGUAAGUCAGCCAUGUGAGUUCAAGAACAAGGUCACAGGUUUGAGCCUUCCAUUUCGUGUCCGUUCUGUUUCUGCUAAACCCCUUGAAGGAUAAUCAUGAAACUUGGAUCAAAUGAUCACCUCACCAAGGCGAUAUGCAGAACUGGCGAGAUAGCCAUAUUAGGUCAAGGUCACAACUCUAGUUCAAAUAUUUUACCCUUCCAUUUCAUGUCGGCUCUAUAUCUCCUAAACCCCUUGGGGGAAUUUUAUCAAUCUUGUGUCAGAUGAUCACCACAUCAAGAGGAUGUGCAGAACUGAUGAGUCAGCCAUGCCGGCUCAAGGUCAAGGUCACAGCUUGUGGUCUAAGCCUUCCAUUUUGUGUCCACUGUAUCUCCUAAACCCCAUGAAGCAUUUUCAUCAAAAAUGGGCCAAAUUAUCACCUCAUCAAGAACUCGUGAGUCAGCCAUGUCGUCACAACUUGAGGUCAAAGGUUUGAGCUCUGCAUCUCCUAAACCACUUUCAUGAAAUUUUGUUAAAUGAUCACCUUACCAGGAUGAUGUACAGAAGUCAUGGAUCAGUUCAAGGUCAAGGUCACAGCUCAAGGUCAAAGGUUUACCCUUUCACUAUCCAUAACAGUGGCGGGGGAUUUAGUUGUCUUUCAAACUGCCUUGUUUUUGUCAGAAAACGCUAUCUUUAUUUCAAAUCAAUUUACUAAUAUUACAUGACCAUCUACCAAAACUGUUGAAGCCAGUUGUGUAUCUCGGGUGAACAAACUGGAAUCAUCAUUGUCCUCUUGUUUAGCAAUGUGUUCUGCAAAAUUCUUUAAUGUCAGUUUUUUUUCAAAAACCUGGAAAUUGUUGACUUGUUAAAACCAACGAAAUAGUUAGGAAUCUGACUCCGAAUCCUUGCCAGACUUUAUUCAGACUAUGUAUUAUUACAGCCAGUAAUCUUUUUCAUAAAAUAAAUGUUGAUUUUAAUUAUAAAAUAUAUGAAUA